UAUUAAAGAGAAAUGGAGGGCUAGGAUUGGCCUAGAGCUUUUGUUUUUGAUCAAGUGGCCAUGAUGGAGGGAGACUUUUUUGUCAUAAGGAAUGGUUUGGUAGACUUGUGGACUUAGAAAAAAUUGUGAAACUCCUUCCUCCUUCCUCUCAUAAACCGACCUCUUCUUCUCUCUCACUCACCUCAUUGAAAAAUUUUCAUUUCUCAUCCAUUCAAGCUAGGAUUUGUCUCUUUGGAACUAGAAACUUGCAAGGAAAUCACUUCUCUUAAGGGCGCGCGAAUUGUAGCAUUAUUCGGAAUUGGUUGUGAUUGGAGCUUUGCCGAGGCGAUGAUUUUCCUUCUGAGACUGUGGGUCGUGCGGACGGCGAGGACUUUGUGGAUUAUGCGGGAGAAUAGAUUGUAGUCCUUGGUUAGGCUACACUUUUGUUAGGCUUAGGGCCUAGUUCUUUUGGAUGACUGUAUUUAUACUCAGGCAUGUUUAGUGCCUUUUGGCCUUGUGAUAUAUUCGGUUCAUAACACUUGUCUUUUAUUUAUGAACGCGAUGUAUCUUGGUUUGUAAAUUAUUCAGGUACACACUUUGCUUCGCGGAAGCCCUGUAGUAUAAUAUUUUAAUAUUAUAUUUAUAUUCCAUUGAAUGAUGAAUUGUCGAGAUAGCU